rnacentral:rRNA from 1 species
UACAGAGGGUGCGAGCGUUGUCCGGAAUCACUGGGCGUAAGGGCGCGUAGGCGGUUGGAUAAGUCUUGUGUGAAAUCUUCGGGCUCAACUCGAAGUCUGCACGAGAAACUAUCUGGCUUGAGUGUGGGAGAGAUGGAGUGGAAUUCCUGGUGUAGCGGUGAAAUGCGCAGAUAUCAGGAGGAACACCGAUGGCGAAGGCAGGUCUCUGGGCCACUACUGACGCUGGAGAAGCGAAAGCAUGGGGAGCGAACAGG